rnacentral:piRNA from 1 species
UUNGCACCAAGAAGCUCAGGAUGCCAUACU